GAUGAACGCUGGCGGCGUGCCUAAUACAUGCAAGUCGAGCGAACAGACGAGGAGCUUGCUCCUCUGACGUUAGCGGCGGACGGGUGAGUAACACGUGGAUAACCUACCUAUAAGACUGGGAUAACUUCGGGAAACCGGAGCUAAUACCGGAUAAUAUAUUGAACCGCAUGGUUCAAUAGUGAAAGACGGUUUUGAUGUCACUUAUAGAUGGAUCCGCGCCGCAUUAGCUAGUUGGUAAGGUAACGGCUUACCAAGGCAACGAUGCGUAGCCGACCUGAGAGGGUGAUCGGCCACACUGGAACUGAGACACGGUCCAGACUCCUACGGGAGGCAGCAGUAGGGAAUCUUCCGCAAUGGGCGAAAGCUUGACGGAGCAACGCCGCGUGAGUGAUGAAGGUCUUCGGAUCGUAAAACUCUGUUAUUAGGGAAGAACAAAUGUGUAAGUAACUAUGCACGUCUUGACGGUACCUAAUCAGAAAGCCACGGCUAACUACGUG
rnacentral:rRNA from 1 species